rnacentral:misc_RNA from 1 species
GAUGAAGAACGUAGCGAAAUGCGAUAAGUAAUGUGAAUUGCAGAAUUCAGUGAAUCAUCGAAUCUUUGAACGCACAUUGCGCCCAUUAGUAUUCUAGUGGGCAUGCCUGUUCGAGCGUCAUUAAGUCCACUUAAGCCCUGCUUAGUGUUGGGAGACUGCUCCAGCGGUGCUACCCUGUAGCUACCCUGCAGCUCCUCAAAGACAGCGGCGGAGUUGUGGUAUCCUCUGAGCUUAGUAACUUGUUCUAGCUUUCGAGUACACCACUUCCCCUGUCGUAAAACCCUUAAUUUUUAAUGGUUGACCUCGGAUCAGGUAGGAAUACCCGCUGAACUUAAGCAUAUCAAUAAGCGGAGGA